rnacentral:rRNA from 1 species
AGGAGCUUGCUCUUCUUGGAUGGGUUGCGAACGGGUGAGUAACGCGUAGGUAACCUGCCUGGUAGCGGGGGAUAACUAUUGGAAACGAUAGCUAAUACCGCAUAAAAUUGAUUAUUGCAUGAUAAUUAAUUGAAAGAUGCAAUUGCAUCACUACCAGAUGGACCUGCGUUGUAUUAGCUAGUUGGUGAGGUAACGGCUCACCAAGGCGACGAUACAUAGCCGACCUGAGAGGGUGAUCGGCCACACUGGGACUGAGACACGGCCCAGACUCCUACGGGAGGCAGCAGUAGGGAAUCUUCGGCAAUGGGGGGAACCCUGACCGAGCAACGCCGCGUGAGUGAAGAAGGUUUUCGGAUCGUAAAGCUCUGUUGUAAGAGAAGAACGGGUGUGAGAGUGGAAAGUUCACACUGUGACGGUAUCUUACCAGAAAGGGACGGCUAACUACGUGCCAGCAGCCGCGGUAAUACGUAGGU